CCUCGAGGGCGGUCAUCAGGAGGGUCCCCGUCACGUCGAAGGUGACCAGCCUAGGCCGCAGGAGUCGCUUCAUCUCCACGAGCGGUCGUCUCAUCCUCGCACUCGCCGGUUUCGCGCGAAAACCCCAUUCAUUGCGGGGUUCCUGACGACGACGACGACGGUUUCGUCGAAGCACGUGUCCACCGAGUGCCAAUUGCAGAAUUGGAACUUUGCCAAAUUCCUUGGUCGUUACUAUGUUACGGUUUAUUUUCGCAGAGAAGUCUUAUUCACGUGACAAGAAGAAAAAAGUACUCGGAUGUAUUACAUUCCCUCGGGAUGAAGGAGCGAAAACAAAGGACCGAUUUCCUCACUCGACGGUGUAAUCGUAAAAUAAAUCAAGAAAACGCCUCCCGCGA